UCACUUGCAUCAUUGAGGUAAUGAUGCUACUUUGAUUGUUUUUAGCAAGUGAGAUUGAAUUUAUUAAUGUAAUUGUUCCAGCAGUUUUUUCACUAUUUGUGGGAUUGAAAGCUAGAACGUUUGUGAGUUCAAAUUUCAAGUUCUUGAAAUGACAAGAAAAUUAAAUCAUUGGUUGAUCACUGGGUUAAA